rnacentral:ncRNA from 1 species
AGAGUCAGGCAGGAAAGGAGUAGCGAACCAUCCUGACCCCGAGGCAUGUGAGGGCAGCCGUAAGGCUGCACUUGAAGCGUUGGGAAGGGGCACAUGGAGGCUGGGUAUCCCUGAAGUAGAUGAGCUCCGAAAUAGCCAAGACCAGAGACGCCGACGGUGUCGGGCGAACCGGAAGGCAAUACUGCGGCGCGCGGGAGAUCGCGAGUGCGUCACAGGCUCUGCGGAGUCGUAGACCC